GCCAUCGUAGCACAAAGGUAGUGCAUUGCCUUCCUACGUAAAUCUUUGAUUUAUGUGUUGUAAUCAGAAAAUCGAUUAAGGCAAAGGUUGUGGGUUCGAGCCCCAUCGAUGGUU